AACAGCCGUCGCCCCCGCGAAGGCGGGGGCCGCCGUCGUUUUACGCAGCGGCGCAGGAACAGGCCUCCAGCGGCCCCCGCCUUCGCGGGGGCGACGAGUUAU
rnacentral:miRNA from 1 species